CUCUUCACCUGAGACCUGUACCGAGACAUGAUUGAAUUAAGACAACAUAUCUGUUACACUCUGCAGUUCAUUAUCUUUCCAUAAUAGUUGGAAUAUUAAAGUUUACCAUAUUUGGGUUUAUAAAUCAUUAACGUAACGAAUCUAUACUGAAGGUGAUCUCUUAUCCACCACUAGAGGUCAGUAUUAUCAAGUAGGUGUUUAACUUUUUCAUCAAGAUGUUUUGCCAUUGGGUCUUUAACAGCUGGUACCAUGAAAAUAGUAAAUGUGACACUUGAGCUGAACACCAGAUCGUUUCCCCUGUUGCUGUAGACCUGCUGUUGGGAUGGAAACCUGGCUGUGGAUUAUUAUUGCCGCACUUCUAUCUGAGUGUAAAUCAGAAGACGGAGUGAUCCAGCCCAGAGAGGAUGUCAUAGCUACUGAAGGACUCACAGUUAGUCUUCACUGUACAUUUAAGACCACUGACCCUAAUGCGUAUUUGUUCUGGUACAAACAACAAAUCAACGACCUCCCCAGGUUCAUGCUACGACGCUUUACAUUUGGAGAAGGAGAUAAUGCUGCAGAGUUCCACAAAGACAGAUUUGAUGCCCGAAUCCAAAAUAAAUCAGUUCCUCUGAGGAUCCAGAACCUGCAGCUCUCUGACUCUGCUCUGUACUACUGUGCUCUGAAGCCCACAGUGACAGGAAACACAGACUCCCUGUACAAAAACAUGCUGAGCAGAAAACACACUUCCCUCUUCCCCUGAGUUCAGGGCAAAGACAUUUCUGACUAAACCCAUCAAAAUAUUUAUUUCCUAAUUAAUUAUACAGGUCAGUAUUUUCCAAUUACCAAAUAUUUAGACAUAACAGCUGUGCAAACUGUGGCCGUAUUAUUUUGAAUAUUUUGGUUUAAAAAGUGGGGUACAUUUGUGGAGCUUUUAUUAUUAUGGCUCAUUCAAUUAAUAACCAUCUGUGUUUCAACUGUUACUCUUCCAGCUUUGAUUCAGUCCUUGGCGCAACUCUAGCAGGAGGUGGAGCUUGACAGGCAGCACAUCAGAAACAAUCUAUCAGCACAACUUAUUUUAGACUCUUGAUUGAUGCUGCUCUACAACAUCUAAUUGGGCUCCACUAUCAGCAAUGCAGCUCGUCAUGUUAGUGGUUUUAUUUGUUGGGUUUACUGGUGAAAGUCAUCAGCAAACAAUCCUCUCAAUCCAGGACAGUCCAGUCCAGGCUCUACAAGGAGACGGCGUGACUCUCUCCUGCAACUACUCUUCAGCAACAUACUUCUUCUGGUAUCGGCAGUACCCCAGCUCACCUCCCCAGUUACUUAUCAAAGAUUACAUGGAGCUAUCUGGAUUUACCUUGAAAAAGGACAGUGAAAGAAAAGUGUUUGCUCUCGAGAUCUCCUCUGCUGCAGUGACAGACUCUGCUCUGUACUACUGUGCUGUGCAGCCCACAGUGACAGGAAACACAGACUCCCUGUACAAAAACCUGACAAGGAACUGGAAGAGCAUUUGUCAUUGCUUUCAACUGUGGUUCAGGGGAGGGGCAACUGGAGAGGUGAAUUCACCAGGAGUCUAGUGAAGAAACAGUAUGUUACAACUAGGAUACAGAGGUAGAAUGUUUAGCUUCAGGGCUCCCAUGGGGUUUGAAAUGAUGGCAGUCCUCUUUCUACUUCUAGUUUGUAAAUUAACAGGUAAGUCACAGCCCACCAGAAACUCAAAAAAUUAAAGGGAACAUG